rnacentral:rRNA from 1 species
AUCUGGGGUGCCAGGAUACCUCUUAAAAUUCAGAUCUUCUUGUGGCAGUUAUUUCAGGAUGCUGUCUUAACUAGAGAUGUGAUGAAACAUCGAGGGUGGAAGGGGAAUCCCAAAUGUUCCUUUUGUGAUGGGCGAGAGACUGCACAACACUUGUUCUUUACUUGCCCCGUUGCUAGGGUGACCUCGAGGAUAGUGGCAUGUAUGUUUGGCAUUGCUUUGUGCCCUGAUAACAUUUGGCAAGCUUAUGUGUGGUGCUAUACAUUAUUCCCUGGUGUGGAAAAGUUUUACACAGCAGGGAUUGUGUUUGUGUGUUGGGCGAUUUGGUCCUGUCGCAAUAGAGCUACCUUCGAGUUCAAACCACUUACAAAUCCUUUUGAAUGUAUUUUUUUUGCUUGUGCUCUAAUGUGCUACUCGGCAGGACUGCUGAAGCAAGAUGACGUGACCACCAUGAGGGACGGGGCAAAGAUUCUGAAAGAGAACGCGUCGAUGAUGAUGAGAAUCUGUGCAGCGAACCACGAAGAAUCAACAUGCUGA